GAUGAAGAACGCAGCGAAAUGCGAUAAGUAAUGUGAAUUGCAGAAUUCAGUGAAUCAUCGAAUCUUUGAACGCACAUUGCGCCCCUUGGUAUUCCGAGGGGCAUGCCUGUUCGAGCGUCAUUAUAACCCCUCAAGCUCAGCUUGGUGUUGGGGCCUGCUGCACUGGCAGCCCUUAAAAUCAGUGGCGGCGCCAUCUGGCUCUAAGCGUAGUAAUUCUUCUCGCUAUGGAGUCCUGGUGGAUGCUUGCCAUCAACCCCCAAUUUUUCUAUGGUUGACCUCGGAUCAGGUAUGGAUACCCGCUGAACUUAAGCAUAUCAAUAAGCGGAGGA
rnacentral:misc_RNA from 1 species